rnacentral:rRNA from 1 species
ACGGGAGGCAGCAGUGGGGAAUAUUGGGCAAUGGGCGAAAGCCUGACCCAGCAACGCCGCGUGAAGGAAGAAGGUCUUCGGAUUGUAAACUUCUUUUAUGAGGGACGAAGGACGUGACGGUACCUCAUGAAUAAGCAACGGCUAAUUACGUGCCAGCAGCCGCGGUAACACGUAAGUUGCGAGCGUUGUUCGGAAUUAUUGGGCGUAAAGGGCAUGUAGGCGGUUUUGCAAGCUUGGUGUGAAAUCCCGGAGCUCAACUCCGGAAUUGCGUUGAGAACUGCAUAACUAGAGUCACUGAGGGGCAAUCAGAAUUCCAGGUGUAGGGGUGAAAUCUGUAGAUAUCUGGAAGAAUACCAAUGGCGAAGGCAGGUUACCAGCAGAUGACUGACGCUGAGGUGCGAAGGUGCGGGGAGCAAACAGGAUUAGAUACCCUGGUA